GACGAACUCUGGCGGCGUGCUUAACACAUGCAAGUCGAACGGAAAGGCCCUGCUUUUGUGGGGUGCUCGAGUGGCGAACGGGUGAGUAACACGUGAGUAACCUGCCCUUGACUUUGGGAUAACUUCAGGAAACUGGGGCUAAUACCGGAUAGGAGCUCCUGCUGCAUGGUGGGGGUUGGAAAGUUUCGGCGGUUGGGGAUGGACUCGCGGCUUAUCAGCUUGUUGGUGGGGUAGUGGCUUACCAAGGCUUUGACGGGUAGCCGGCCUGAGAGGGUGACCGGCCACAUUGGGACUGAGAUACGGCCCAGACUCCUACGGGAGGCAGCAGUGGGGAAUAUUGCACAAUGGGCGGAAGCCUGAUGCAGCAACGCCGCGUGCGGGAUGACGGCCUUCGGGUUGUAAACCGCUUUCGCCUGUGACGAAGCGUGAGUGACGGUAAUGGGUAAAGAAGCACCGGCUAACUACGUGCCAGCAGCCGCGGUGAUACGUAGGGUGCGAGCGUUGUCCGGAUUUAUUGGGCGUAAAGGGCUCGUAGGUGGUUGAUCGCGUCGGAAGUGUAAUCUUGGGGCUUAACCCUGAGCGUGCUUUCGAUACGGGUUGACUUGAGGAAGGUAGGGGAGAAUGGAAUUCCUGGUGGAGCGGUGGAAUGCGCAGAUAUCAGGAGGAACACCAGUGGCGAAGGCGGUUCUCUGGGCCUUUCCUGACGCUGAUGUGCGAAAGCGUGGGGAUCAAACAGGAUUAGAUACCCUGGUAGUCCACGCCGUAAACGAUGAGUGCUAAGUGUUAGGGGGUUUCCGCCCCUUAGUGCUGCAGCUAACGCAUUAAGCACUCCGCCUGGGGAGUACGACCGCAAGGUUGAAACUCAAAGGAAUUGACGGGGACCCGCACAAGCGGUGGAGCAUGUGGUUUAAUUCGAAGCAACGCGAAGAACCUUACCAAAUCUUGACAUCCUUUGACAACUCUAGAGAUAGAGCCUUCCCCUUCGGGGGACAAAGUGACAGGUGGUGCAUGGUUGUCGUCAGCUCGUGUCGUGAGAUGUUGGGUUAAGUCCCGCAACGAGCGCAACCCUUAAGCUUAGUUGCCAUCAUUAAGUUGGGCACUCUAAGUUGACUGCCGGUGACAAACCGGAGGAAGGUGGGGAUGACGUCAAAUCAUCAUGCCCCUUAUGAUUUGGGCUACACACGUGCUACAAUGGACAAUACAAAGGGCAGCGAAACCGCGAGGUCAAGCAAAUCCCAUAAAGUUGUUCUCAGUUCGGAUUGUAGUCUGCAACUCGACUACAUGAAGCUGGAAUCGCUAGUAAUCGUAGAUCAGCAUGCUACGGUGAAUACGUUCCCGGGUCU
rnacentral:rRNA from 1 species